rnacentral:rRNA from 1 species
GUCAAUUAAAAAUAUUUAGUGGUAAUCACACGAAACCGUUUGAGCUAACUAGCACUAGCAUGGCUUCUGUAGCAUAAGAUGUUGAAUGAUAGUUAGGGGUGACAGGCCUCCCAAAUCCGGUGAUAGCUUGAUUCUUGCGAAAAGUUUAGUACGACCACAAAUCGAAAGUGACAAGAUUUUUGAUAACUAUUAAUUUUGAUAAAUGUAACGUAUUGGCUUAACUGUCGGUACGUAUAAAUAUGUAUGUUUGGAGUUUAUGGCUAAUAGUAGGAAGUAAAUAACGUUGCGAUUUAUUUAUAAUGUUGAUAUUAGUAUUAGGUGUCAUCAGUGAACUCGGCGAUAGGGCUUUCAACUGUUUACCAAAAACAUAGCUGUGUGAUAUUACUCACAGUAUUUUCUGCUCAAUGAGUUAUUAAAUAGCCGCAGUACCUUGACUGUGCAAAGGUAGCGUAAUCAGUUGUCUUCUAAUUAAAGUCUCGUAUGAAAGAAUAUAUGGGGGCCCACUUUACCCGUGGCAGGAAGUGAAGUUGAUAAGUGAGUGCAAAUGCU